GAUGAAGAACGCAGUGAAAUGCGAUACUUGGUGUGAAUUGCAGAAUCCCGUGAACCAUCGAGUCUUUGAACGCAAGUUGCGCCCGAAGCCAUUAGGCCGAGGGCACGCCUGCCUGGGCGUCACACGUCGUUGCCCCCCCAUCUACUCCUUCGGGAUUGCGGGGGGCGGAUGAUGGCCUCCCGUGCGCCUCGUCGCGCGGUUGGCAUAAAUGCCAAGUCCUCGGCGACACACGCCACGACAAUCGGUGGUUGCGAAACCUCGGUUGCCCGUCGUGUGCGGUCGUCGCGCAUCGAGGGCUCGAAAAAAUUGCUGGGCUCCGGCUCGGCUUUCAACGCGACCCCAGGUCAGGCGGGGUUACCCGCUGAAUUUAAGCAUAUCAAUAAGCGGAGGA
rnacentral:misc_RNA from 1 species